rnacentral:rRNA from 1 species
ACAACUUUCAACAAUGGAUCUCUCGGCUCUCGCAUCGAUGAAGAACGCAGCGAAAUGCGAUAAGUAAUGUGAAUUGCAGAAUUCAGUGAAUCAUCGAAUCUUUGAACGCACCUUGCGCCCUUUGGUAUUCCGAAGGGCACGCCUGUUUGAGUGUCGUGAA